CAUAGUCCUGCGUAUACAGAAAGGACUGCGUCGCAUUUGUGUCGAGAGACGUGCAAUACCCAGUAAGUCUGUCCACUAACAGGACACGUCACAGAUUAAUCAGUAAUUCAGUUCCUCGGGCGGUAUAGAAAAGAACACUACAUUGAUAUCCAACUGCCUCAGGGAAUGUUACUUUGAUUGGAAUUGUAGAAACUGAUGCUUUAACGGGACACUAGCUGGAAACAUGUACCUGUCCCAGCUACUUGGUAUAUAUCUACCGGCUCUGUGUUGUGUUCUUUGUCCGCCGCUCGCGGCACAACGAUACCAAGAAUGUCCCCAGACGAUAAUGGCCAAUGAGCGAGACCGGCAGAGGAUAAUCGAGACGGGGCGAAAAUUCAGUCUAGUCCUGGAGAGGUACCGGAACAAGCCGGCAGAUAUCGUCUUCCUCCUCGACUCCUCGGCCAUUGUGGGGGAGGGUUACUUCGGCUGCGAGGUGCAGUUUGUCCGGCACUUCUCUAAGCUGUUCAGCGUGUCUCCAGAGACGUCGCGUGUGGCGGUGGUGACCUGUUCCAGCUGCGACAAGAUCUACACCGAUCUGGACUACAUCAACUCCCCGAUCGGCAAGAACAAGUGCACGCUCCUGGACACCGAUCUACGGCGGACCCACUACCGAGACGGGGAAACAUGCAUUGUAGGUGGACUCCUCAGAGCCAAAGAAAUCCUGGCUGGGUCUCGGCCGUCUACACAGAAGAUUAUUUUUCUUUUGAUGGCUGGCCAAUCCACUGAUGGUGAGAUCUUGCUUGAGUUGGCGGCAGAACUGCGAAACACAUCCACCAUAUUUGCCAUUGGACUAGGAGAAAGUGUGAGUAUAGAUGAGCUGAACGGCAUCGCAACUUCUCCAAGCGAGGACCACGUCAUCCUGCUGAAUCUUGUGACCGAUGUUGAGAGUCUGGCCGUGAAAGUACUUGGCGAUCAGACAGAUACGUCAUGGGACCUCAACGUAACCUCUGAUAUUUGUAAUUCACUCUGCUUGUCGGAGAGUAACUGCUGCGACUCACAUGCCAACUGCUCCUGUGCAACGCAGACCGGAAGCUACGGAUGUGCCUGUCAUCCUGGAUACACUGGCGAUGGAGAACAAGACCAGUGUACAGCUUGUCCCAACGGUACCUUCAAAUCACAAUACGGUAAUCAGGGGUGCACCAGUUGCCCCACUCUCUCUACUACGGCGGCAGAGGGCAGCACAUCCCUUAGUGAUUGCCAGUGCCUACCGGGACAUCAAGGCUCCCCGGACAUGAAGGUGCCUUGCACACCCGCAGCCAAACCGACUGAUUCGGGGGAAGAUGGGAGACUCCGCUGUAGCAAGCCACCAAGCAUCGAGAACGGCAGCUAUGAAACCUACAACCGUGGCACUUCCAUUGCAUACCUCUGUGACGAUGGGUUCAUGAUGUACACGUUUGGUGAUCGCACAAGACAUUGCCGAGACGGAAUAUGGAACGGGAGCACACCAAUCUGCUCGAUUUAUUGCGAUUGAAAGUUAACGGAAUGCACAUCGUGGACUUGAAAGUGAAUGGCAUUGAAACUGCUCAACAAAUCAUGAGUCCUAAACGCCCCCAAAGCUGGUGGGUGUUCAGAGGAAGACGCACCUACUGUAGAGAACUCCGCUGUACAGCGAUUCAACGGAGGCACGGUUCGGUUCUAU
rnacentral:misc_RNA from 1 species